rnacentral:rRNA from 1 species
UACGUAGGGUGCGAGCGUUAAUCGGAAUUACUGGGCGUAAAGCGUGCGCAGGCGGUCUGUUAAGACCGAUGUGAAAUCCCCGGGCUUAACCUGGGAACUGCGCUUCUAACUGGCAGGCUUGAGUGUGGCAGAGGGGGGGUGGAAUUCCACGUGUAGCAGUGAAAUGCGUAGAGAUAUGGAGGAACACCGAUGGCGAAGGCAGCCCCCCUGGGCUAACACUGACGCUCAUGCACGAAAGCGUGGGGAGCAAACAGG